GCUGGGCAUGGUGGUGAGUGCCUGUAAUCCCAGCUACUGGGGAGGCUGAGGCAGGAGAAUCACUUGAGCCCAAGAGUUGGAGGUUGCAGUGAGCAGAAAUCAUGCCACUGCACUCCAGCCUGGGCGACAGAGUGAGACUCCGUUUCAA
ensembl:misc_RNA Metazoa_SRP Metazoan signal recognition particle RNA